AACAGCUGAGACCUCAGCGAAAACACAGAUUGAAGUUAUAAAGGGCUCUGGGGUGUUUUGCCAGGCAGAAGCGUGGAAAGCAGCCUGCCUUGCCACCUCUGCUACUGCCAUGGUGCGGAUCUGCUGCUGGGCACCUUUGAUUUGGAGACUUUGCUGAAAAGCAACCUGAAUGGUGGGAAACCAACCAGAGGGGAUGGGGAGCAGCUGGUCGCC